AGUGAACGCUGGCGGUAGGCCUAACACAUGCAAGUCGAACGGCAGCACAGUAAGAGCUUGCCCUUACGGGUGGCGAGUGGCGGACGGGUGAGGAAUACAUCGGAAUCUACUUUUUCGUGGGGGAUAACGUAGGGAAACUUACGCUAAUACCGCAUACGACCUACGGGUGAAAGCAGGGGAUCUUCGGACCUUGCGCGAUUGAAUGAGCCGAUGUCGGAUUAGCUAGUUGGCGGGGUAAAGGCCCACCAAGGCGACGAUCAGUAGCUGGUCUGAGAGGAUGAUCAGCCACACUGGAACUGAGACACGGUCCAGACUCCUACGGGAGGCAGCAGUGGGGAAUAUUGGACAAUGGGCGCAAGCCUGAUCCAGCCAUACCGCGUGGGUGAAGAAGGCCUUCGGGUUGUAAAGCCCUUUUGUUGGGAAAGAAAAGCAGCAGGUUAAUACCCCGCUGUUCUGACGGUACCCAAAGAAUAAGCACCGGCUAACUUCGUG
rnacentral:rRNA from 1 species